GGAGAGAGUGGGAGGAGGAGGAGGAGGAAACAAAAUACGAAAAGCUUAUCUAUCAUUGAACGGUCACCGACACUAUUCAGCUCCUCGAGUCUUCAUGACAAAAGGGAAAGCGGCGAACACAUGCGGCGCUGCUCGGUCCCCCUGUGUAAGCGGAGAGCUGUGCAGUCAGGUGAUGUUCUGCCUGAAGACUCGCCCAAAAACCUCUGCUGUGCUGCACAUGGACGGACGGUGGAGACACACGUCGCCCGGAGCUUCAGGUGGAAACACCUCCUUCACCACACGAGCUCCAGCUGUCUGUCAUCCUCACUGCAACUCGUGACUCGGACAGU